rnacentral:rRNA from 1 species
UACGGAAGGGGCAAGCGUUGUUCGGAAUCAUUGGGCGUAAAGGGCGCGUAGGUGGUUCUGUAUGUCUAUCGUGAAAGCAUACAGCUCAACUGUAUUUUGUCGGUAGAAACUGCAGGACUUGAGGCUGGGAGGGGCUGGUGGAAUUCCCUGUGUAGCGGUGAAAUGCGUAGAGAUGGGGGGAGAACACUCGUGGCGAAGGCGGCCAGCUAGACCAGUUCUGACACUGAGGCGCGACAGCGUGGGGAGCAAACGGG